rnacentral:tRNA from 1 species
CGAUCGGGUAGACGACGAGUUUGGCGGUGUUGCCGCCGGCGAUCACCAUGGUCCGGCCGGUGCCGAAUUCGGGCCAUUCGG